CACGGCAACACCCGAGGCGGAAGUCCCGCCCCGCGUGCCCCAUUGGCCCGCGCCCGGGGACGUGGAGCCGCCAUUGGGCAGCAGCGCUGCCUAUUGAGGCUCCUCCCCACCCUCGCGCCGCCGAGUCGCGCUGCCAGUCCCGGCCACGCUGGGAGGAUGCCCAGUUCGAGAGUCUCGUUCUCCGCCGCGUGAUCGCCGUCCCUGGAAGGGAAGGCAGGGGAGAGCAGGGUGCGGUGGCCUUCUGGGCAACCCGAGUGCAGCUUCAGGAGUCGCUCCUGACCGCGGGGUGCUGGCCUGCAGGGGACCGGCCGCGGUGGGCGGGCCUGGCCGCUCCCGCUGACGGACCGCGAGGCUGACCUGGUCUGGAGCCGACCCGCCUUCCCUGCUGCCAGGGAGGCCAGGGCGAGGUCGCGUCCCUGAACCGCGCCCGGGCCGGGGGCGGACGGGCGAGACCCAGGGCCUGCUGGUAGGGGCGACCCGCCAGUUCUAGCGCUAGCCCGCGGCCUGGCCCCAAGCCGCGCUGACCUCGGCAUCCGGUAGCCACGCGCCGUCGAGCCCUGUGACCCGGCUGCCGCUGGGUCCGCCGUUCCGAACCUGGCGGCCUCUUGCUGAGCCGGAAGGCCCGGCCGGCUGCUUUGGGGUGAGCCUCGGCGGGUCCAGGCUGCACUGUUAGUGCGCGGGUGCUGCAUCCGCUUGGCCUCGGAGCACUCAGGCGCCUUCAGCAGGCUCCGCAGACCCUCAGCACGGGGGGUUUAAAAGGAGACAAGGGUGGAGGUCAGUGCAUACCACUGGAUGCAACUGACCGCUUCAGGAGGCCUGGGAAGGUAGGACACUGGAAUCGGGAAAGCCCAGCUGUUCUCUAAAAUUGCAAAAUAAAGACCACCAAAAUGACUUUGAUCUUCUGUGUCUCCUAUGUAUCCUUAAACCUUCAUCGAUUUAAGAAGAUAAUCAACAUCUAAAUUUAUGUAAUUCUGUCUUUAAGAAAGACGUAAAUAAAAGUCAGCAUCAGAAAUAUUACUGCGAAAGCUACUGUAAUUAGUAUAAAAUGCC
rnacentral:lncRNA from 1 species